rnacentral:rRNA from 1 species
UACGUAGGGGGCAAGCGUUGUCCGGAUUUAUUGGGCGUAAAGAGCGUGUAGGCGGCCUGGUAGGUCAGCUGUGAAAACUCGAGGCUCAACCUCGAGACGCCGGUUGAAACCAUCAGGCUAGAGUCCGGAAGAGGAGAGUGGAAUUCCCGGUGUAGCGGUGAAAUUCGUAGAUAUUGGGAAGAACACCGGUGGCGAAGGCGGCGACCUGGUCCUUGACUGACGCUGAGGCGCGAAAGCGUGGGGAGCAAACAGG